rnacentral:rRNA from 1 species
UACGUAGGGGGCGAGCGUUGUCCGGAAUCAUUGGGCGUAAAGCGCGUGUAGGCGGCCCGGUAAGUCCGCUGUGAAAGUCCAGGGCUCAACCCUGGGAUGCCGGUGGAUACUGUCGGGCUCGAGUCCGGAAGAGGAGAGUGGAAUUCCUGGUGUAGCGGUGAAAUGCGCAGAUAUCAGGAGGAACACCAAUGGCGAAGGCAGCUCGCUGGGACGUGACUGACGCUGAGACGCGAAAGCGUGGGGAGCAAACAGG